GUACUGCGUCAGUAACACGUGGAUAACCUGCCCUUAGGACUGGCAUAACCCCGGGAAACUGGGGAUAAUUCCGGAUAGUUCAUGGUAGUUGGAAUGCUCCAUGAUCGAAAGCUAUUGCGCCUAAGGAUGGGUCUGCGGUCUAUCAGGUAGUAGUGGGUGUAAUGUACCUACUAGCCGACGACGGAUACGGGUUGUGGGAGCAAGAGCCCGGAGAUGGAUUCUGAGACAUGAAUCCAGGCCCUACGGGGCGCAGCAGGCGCGAAAACUUUACAAUGCGGGAAACCGCGAUAAGGGGACACCGAGUGCCAGCAUCUUAUGUUGGCUGUCCGCAUGUAUAAAUCACAUGUGUUAGCAAGGGCCGGGCAAGGCCGGUGCCAGCCGCCGCGGUAACACCGGCGGCCCGAGUGGUGGCCACUAUUAUUGGGUCUAAAGGGUCCGUAGCCGGUUUGGUCAGUCUUCCGGGAAAUCUGACGGCUUAACCGUUAGGCUUUCGGGGGAUACUACCAGGCUUGGGACCGGGAGAGGUAAGAGGUACUACGGGGGUAGGAGUGAAAUCUUGUAAUCCUCGUGGGACCACCAGUGGCGAAGGCGUCUUACCAGAACGGGUCCGACGGUGAGGGACGAAAGCUGGGGGCACGAACCGGAUUAGAUACCCGGGUAGUCCCAGCCGUAAACUAUGCUCGCUAGGUGUCAGGGACGGUGCGACCGUUUCUGGUGCCGCAGGGAAGCCGUGAUGCGAGCCACCUGGGAAGUACGGUCGCAAGGCUGAAACUUAAAGGAAUUGGCGGGAAUCACUAGUG
rnacentral:rRNA from 1 species